GUCGAUAGAACAAAGUAGGUAAGGUAAGUCGGCAAAAUAGAUCCGUAACCUCGGAAUAAGGAUUGGCUCUGAGGGUUGGGCCUAAGGGUCCCUUGAACGACGGAAGUACGGAUAGGAGGAGACUACGGCUUCGGUUGUGGAUUCCACCCGUCUGUUUUCCCGAGAUCUUGGGAAUGUCUUCGGACGUUCCUUAGUGCGUAGAACAACCGACUCAGAACUGGAGCGGA
rnacentral:rRNA from 1 species